rnacentral:rRNA from 1 species
CCUACGGGAGGCAGCAGUGAGGAAUAUUGGUCAAUGGACGCAAGCCUGAACCAGCCAUGCCGCGUGCAGGAUGACGGCCCUAUGAGUUGUAAACUGCUUUUGUACGAGGGUAAACGCAGAUACGCGUAUCUGUCUGAAAGUAUCGUACGAAUAAGGAUCGGCUAACUCCGUGCCAGCAGCCGCGGUAAUACGGAGGAUUCAAGCGUUAUCCGGAUUUAUUGGGUUUAAAGGGUGCGUAGGCGGGCGGAUAAGUUAGAGGUGAAAUUCCGAGGCUCAACGUCGGAAUUGCCUUUGAUACUGGUCGGCUAGAGAGUAGUUGAGGUAGGCGGAAUGUAUGGUGUAGCGGUGAAAUGCUUAGAGAUCAUACAGAACACCGAUUGCGAAGGCAGCUUACCAAGCUACUACUGACGUUGAGGCACGAAAGCGUGGGGAGCAAACAGGAUUAGAUACCCGUGUAGUC